rnacentral:rRNA from 1 species
AACGAACGCUGGCGGCAUGCCUAACACAUGCAAGUCGAACGAGACCUUCGGGUCUAGUGGCGCACGGGUGCGUAACGCGUGGGAACCUGCCCUUAGGUUCGGAAUAACUCCCCGAAAGGGGUGCUAAUACCGGAUAAUGUCUUCGGACCAAAGAUUUAUCGCCUUUGGAUGGGCCCGCGUUGGAUUAGCUAGUUGGUAGGGUAAAAGCCUACCAAGGCGACGAUCCAUAGCUGGUCUGAGAGGAUGAUCAGCCACACUGGGACUGAGACACGGCCCAGACUCCUACGGGAGGCAGCAGUGGGGAAUAUUGGACAAUGGGCGAAAGCCUGAUCCAGCAAUGCCGCGUGAGUGAUGAAGGCCUUAGGGUUGUAAAGCUCUUUUACCCGAGAUGAUAAUGACAGUACCGGGAGAAUAAGCUCCGGCUAACUACGUG